rnacentral:sRNA from 23 species
GUGCGCCACCCUUGCAUGACGGUUCCGCGCGCUGUCCACGCCACCGGAUGAUUGCUCGCUCCGUCUUGUUCGCC